CCCGCUGAACUUAAGCAUAUCAAUAAGCGGAGGAAAAGAAACCAACAGGGAUUGCCUCAGUAACGGCGAGUGAAGCGGCAACAGCUCAAAUUUGAAAUCUGGCUUCUCGGAGCCCGAGUUGUAAUUUGUAGAGGAUGUUUCGGGUACCGCUCCGGCUUAAUUUUCUUGGAACAGAAUGUCACAGAGGGUGAGAAUCCCGUCUGGAGCCGCGGUAGGGCCUAUGUGAAACUCCUUCGACGAGUCGAGUUGUUUGGGAAUGCAGCUCAAAAUGGGUGGUAAAUUUCAUCUAAAGCUAAAUAUUGGCCAGAGACCGAUAGCGCACAAGUAGAGUGAUCGAAAGAUGAAAAGCACUUUGAAAAGAGAGUUAAACAGUAUGUGAAAUUGUUGAAAGGGAAGCGCUGGCAACCAGACUUGCGUGUAGGGGUUCCCCCUCGCUUCUGCGUGGGUUACUCCCCUAUAUCCAGGCCAACAUCGGUUUUGGCGGUCGGUCAAAGGCCUUGGGAAUGUACCUUCCCCCGGGAAGACUUAUAGCCCAGGGUGUCAUGCGGCCUGCCGGGACCGAGGAACGCGCUUCGGCCCGGAUGUUGGCGUAAUGGUUGUCAGCGACCCGUCUUGAAACACGG
rnacentral:rRNA from 1 species